AGUGAACGCUGGCGGUAGGCCUAACACAUGCAAGUCGAACGGCAGCACAGUAAGAGCUUGCUCUUACGGGUGGCGAGUGGCGGACGGGUGAGGAAUACAUCGGAAUCUACUUUUUCGUGGGGGAUAACGUAGGGAAACUUACGCUAAUACCGCAUACGACCUACGGGUGAAAGCAGGGGAUCUUCGGCCCUUGCGCGAUUGAAUGAGCCGAUGUCGGAUUAGCUAGUUGGCGGGGUAAAGGCCCACCAAGGCGACGAUCCGUAGCUGGUCUGAGAGGAUGAUCAGCCACACUGGAACUGAGACACGGUCCAGACUCCUACGGGAGGCAGCAGUGGGGAAUAUUGGACAAAGGGCGCAAGCCUGAUCCAGCCAUACCGCGUGGGUGAAGAAGGCCUUCGGGUUGUAAAGCCCUUUUGUUGGGAAAGAAAAGCAGCAGGUUAAUACCCCGCUGUUCUGACGGUACCCAAAGAAUAAGCACCGGCUAACUUCGUG
rnacentral:rRNA from 1 species